rnacentral:rRNA from 1 species
AUACGUAGGCGGCAAGCGUUGUCCGGAAUUACUGGGCGUAAAGAGCUCGUAGGCGGCUCAGCAAGUCGGUCGUGAAAGCCCGAGGCUCAACCUCGGAACUGCGGUCGAUACUGCUGUGGCUAGAGUCCGGUAGAGGAGAGUGGAAUUCCCGGUGUAGCGGUGGAAUGCGCAGAUAUCGGGAGGAACUCCAGUGGCGAAGGCGGCUCUCUGGGCCGGUACUGACGCUGAGGAGCGAAAGCGUGGGGAGCAAACAGGAUUAGAAACCCUAGUAGUCC